ACAAUGCGGGACUAUACGUCUUGCAAUUGGAUUGAGAACAAUGUACAACUCUUAUCGAUAAGCCAUUGGAGGGCAAGUCUGGUGCCAGCAGCCGCGGUAAUUCCAGCUCCAAUAGCGUAUAUUAACGUUGUUGCAGUUAAAAAGCUCGUAGUUGAAGUGUGGGUGAUCGCUGUUGUGAGACUUCGGUCUCUCGACAGUAAGUCACCCCCUUCCAGUAUCCAGUAGUGGGUAUUCACUUACUUACUACUGUGUGUUGGUCCUUUACUGUGAGAAAAUUAGAGUGUUCAAAGCAGGCGUUUGCUUGAAUAGAUUAGCAUGGAAUAAUAAUUGAAGGCUUUCGUGUUCGAUUUGAUUGGUUUGUUCAUGGAAGCAAGGUUAAAAGGAACAGUUGGGGGUAUUCAUAUUCACUAGUUAGAGGUGAAAUUCUCGGAUUUAUGGAA
rnacentral:rRNA from 1 species